GCAGCGGCAGCGAGCCGAGUCUGCACGGCCGGACCCGUCACCUUGUUGCCGUUUCCGCUCACAAGCAGGCAGCCGCCACAUGCGCGCACCGCCGCCCGUCUGGCGCAGGCGGGCGGACGCCGCGGCACGGCAGCACGCCGCGGUCGCGGUCGCACCUUCAUAAACUACCGUUUCUUUUCGCCAGACGGCCAGAGCAAAGAGUAAACAAACGGCACAGCCACAGCGCGAGAGCAAGGCGAGGGAGUGCAGCAAAAUCGCGCACGCGCACGACGCACUGACUGGCCGCUUGCGCCGCGCCGCGCCCGUGCCUCUCGUCGUCCUCCGCCGAAUCCUAUCCCACCACGCGAGCCUCUCGCUCCAGCGGCCGCUGAUCCCCGGCCCAGCUCGGACGCGUUCGAAGGCCACGCCACCGCAUUCGUCUGCAGGGGCAGGGAAGGGAGGGAUCGAGGUUGUUCCGUCGCGGGUGGGGUGGCGACGUGGUGUACGCAGUAGUUCGGAGCUGAGAUGUUCGCGAGCCGGCCGGUGGUGCAUCCGUUGGAGGUAGCGCCGCCCGCGGAUCCGGUGGAGCAGCCAGUGGGAGUGCUGAUGAAGGACCUGCCCGGGAUGCCGGGAACGCCCGGGGGACUCGGCCUGCGCGUCGCGCAGCUCCUCUUCGCCGCCAUCUCGCUCGCGGUUAUGUCGUCCACCAGCGACUUCCCCUCCGUCUCCGCCUUCCGCUACCUUGUUGCUGCUGUUAUUUUACAAUGUGUGUGGAGCCUUGCACUAGCCAUUGUGGACAUAUAUGCACUGCUUGUUAAACGCUGCUUACGAAAUCGUCGUGCUGUUUGUCUGUUUGCUGUUGGAGAUGGGAUCACAGCCGCGAUAACCUUCGCAGCAGCAUGUGCCUCGGCAGGAAUCACCGUCUUGAUCGAUAAUGAUCUGAGCAUAUGCUCAGAAAACCACUGUGCUGCUUUUGAGACUGCAACAGCUAUGGCGUUCAUGUGUUGGUUCUCUCUUGUGCCGUGCUUUCUGCUGAACUUUUAUUCGUUCGCUUCUAGCUGAAAAGAAAGUAGGAUAGAGCUUGAUUUUAGAGCAAGUUUGUGCACCCAAUUGCGGUUUUAGUGACAACUGGAUAGAAUGGCACAGCUAAUAGUAUUAGAAUUGGAAGCUGAUGAACUCUAUGAGGCUAUGACUCCACGUAUCUCGUUUAACUCUGUAAAAAGCAUAGGGAGUGGCUUGUUCGGCAAAGGCAUUGUUGCUGUGAAUCUUUGCAGUUCUAUUGAGUAAGUUGUCAUGAUCUUUGUGAAGAAGCAUUGAGAUUCUUUUUGGGAGAACCAUUGAAAUUCUCGAGGACUUUUCAUCGACAGUUGGCAUGCUCGAGCAGGACCCAGAUCCUCUGCCGUAAAGAGGCAAUGCAGGUCACCGGCUAACUGGUCUGCGCCGUUGGCUUUUGCUUUUGAUCUGACGGCUCCGGAGUGACCCUAAUACCUCUCUGCAGUUGCCAGAGCAUCCCGAUCCGCGCGCAGCAAUGAUCAGUUGGACAUCCAUGACCACAAGUCGAAAAAUGACAAGCAUCUCAUCACGCAACCAUACUCGCUCCUGGUAGAGUGGCAGUGUGGGAUUUCUCUCUUUUCCUGGCAUAUUGCGGUGGUUAUAGCCUUCUCGCUUUACCUUCUAUUCCUUUCAUUUUCUUGUUUGUAUCGAGGAUGUCCAUAUGUACAGGAGCCAAAAAGGCAUGUCAUCAUCUAGAUGUCAUUUGUCAGAGGGAAAGAAAUUUUGACCCGGUAUAUCCAAUAUAUCGGUUUACCAGAUCUACUGAUGGACCCAGUAGAAA